rnacentral:rRNA from 1 species
UACGAAGGGGGCUAGCGUUGCUCGGAAUCACUGGGCGUAAAGCGCACGUAGGCGGCUUUCUAAGUCAGGGGUGAAAUCCUGGAGCUCAACUCCAGAACUGCCUUUGAUACUGGAGAGCUGAGUCCGGGAGAGGUGAGUGGAACUCCGAGUGUAGAGGUGAAAUUCGUAGAUAUUCGGAAGAACACCAGUGGCGAAGGCGGCUCACUGGCCCGGUACUGACGCUGAUGUGCGAAAGCGUGGG